rnacentral:rRNA from 1 species
GACAGAGGUGCCGAGCGUUAGGCGGAAUCACUGGGCUUAAAGCGUGUGUAGGCGGGUCGUUAAGUGUCUUGUGAAAUCCCACCGCUCAACGGUGGAACUGCUGGGCAUACUGGCGAUCUUGAGCCACCUAGGGGCAGACGGAACAAGCGGUGGAGCGGUGAAAUGCGUAGAUAUCGUCUGGAACGCCAAAGGUGAAAACAGACUGCUGGGAGUGUGCUGACGCUGAGACACGAAAGCCAGGGGAGCAAACGGG